UGACAGACAAGAAAUAAUGUAUAACUGAAAUUUCACAAUGAUGUAAACUAUUAUGAACUCAAUUUAAAAAAAAAAGAUCCAUGAGGAAAGGCAAAAAAAAAAAGAGAGCUCCUGGUAGAUGAAGACCUUAAGGAUCAUGGACUAUAACCUGGAGAAUUUAUUUCUUGGAAGUGGCAUCAAAUAAAAGACUCUCUGCAGCCAUGUUGGAAAGGACCAUGCUGGGUACUUUUAACCAAUUCAUGCGCUGCAGAAUCAAAAGGCAUAUGCGCUGCAGAAUCAAAUGGCAUAGACUCAUGGAUUCACAUUUUUCAUUUAAAAAAGGUUUCUGCACCUGAGUGGCUUUCAGUUCCUGUUUCUGAUACUUGACUUCAACUGACCAAUGCAAAUAUUUCCAAACCAGGAUGAAAAGAAGACAGCCUCUGUUGUAGACAGCUGUCCCAAGACUCUGGACCAGGAUAAGCAUCUCUCCCUAAACUAAGGAUGCGUUACUGACCUGCUGUGAUCACCUUGUGACCACUCACUUUGUGACCACUGACCUGCCGACCACCGAUCUGCUGUGCCAGCUAAACAUCUCAUGACAAUCGUAAAUGGGACAUUCCUAUCAUUUGUGAUGUAUGCUCUUUGUUCCAAGACAGUAUAUAACUACUCUGCACACCCCAAUUCUUUGGUGCCCUUCCUUCCUUGGGGAAGGAAGGCCCUGGGCUAGUCCUCAGAUCUGGCUCAUAAUAUACUCACCCCAAUUUUGAUUUAUAGAUUGAUUAUGGAUUAUUUGCAUUGACAUUUCCUUAUACAAGUUCAAAUCUAAAGCUUGAGCCAUUUUCAAUUUCUCAAGAAACAUGUGAACAGAAACCAUAUUAACUUUAAAUAUCAAGCUAUGUGUUCAUGUUGACAAAAAAUGUUAAGAUUUAAUCACAUAAACUAAAUACCUACUUUUUAUUUGGUUUAACAGUUCAUUUAAAUACAUUCUUAUUUCCUAGAGGCUUAGACUCUUAGAUCAGAAAGCGUAUCCUUUGUUAUACUCUGAAAUCAAGUUAUUAGAUUUAAACAGUUCACCAAACACUAGCAGAAUGCUAACACCACCUGCAUAUGAUUCUGGAGUAGAAGAAAAGAACCUCAAACUGGAAAGUCAUCAAAUUUAAAUCCCAUCCCUUUAUACUUGAAGAACCUAUAAAACAGCCUCCUUAUAAUAGUUAAUGUAAAUAUAAACUCGUAUGUUUAAAAAAUAUGACUUUAACUUCAAUUCAUUUGUUUAAACUGUAGUCUCUGGUUCCAUUAUAAACAUAUCUAAUCUACUUCCAACUGACAAUCCUUCUGAUUUUUUAGGAAAACUGUGAUAUCUUUUCUCAGGUCAGCUUCAUUGGAUGAUUUGGAUGUGUAGUGGUGUUUUUUGAGAAAGAACGCUAUCCUUCCAGCCUCGCGUUUCCAGUCAUAAGUUCUCCUUGGCCCUGUUGAAGCACGUCCUGGAGGAAGCAUUGCAAGCUGAGGGGGGAGAGAUUCCAAAGGCUUCAGAGGAGACCCAGGGAGGGCAAGCCCUGGGCCUCACGUCUGGGACCUUAUCAUAGAGUGGUCUCAUCAGAGGAUGUGAGAGCCGGAAGUGACCUUGAGAACUUCUGCUUCUACUGUCUCAAUUUCAGAGAACAAAUUGAGCUUAGAGAAAACCUAUCUGGUGCUAGAACUGGGAUUUGAACUGAGAAACUGUCCCCAGUCUUGGGAAAACAUUUAUGUUAUUCAAAAUCACCUGAUAUGUUCUCAUUAGUUAUUGCUAAGGUAUUCUUAUAAUAAAAGUGAUAUUGUGGAUGCAUGUAAAUGCAUAAAAAUGAGCAGCAGCAGCAGCAGCAUCACUUUUCACGGAGUAUUUGAAAACAAAACUCUGGCAUCCGCCCCAGAUAAAAGACUCGAAUAAUUUUCUAGAAGCCUGAGGACCAGAUUCUAGAUCAAACUUCUAAACUGGCUUGAAUCCUAGUCCAGUUUCUGGCCUCCAACCUUCCUGGUGGGAAAUGAUUAUUGACCCUCCCCACGAGGGUGUGUGGACAGAGCGUAGAUUUUGCCCCUCCUUUGGAUGUUGCAUGGAGAAUUGGGGCCAACACUCUUCUUUGCAAGCAAGAGGCCAUAAUGGGAAGACAGAAUCAGAAAGCCUGAAUAUUUGGAUUUCCCCAGUGCCCCUUCUGUAAGCAACCCUCCCUGCCUGUGUGGUCAGCAGGUCCUUGGGGCAGAACACUACCAAGCGUCGUGACAGAGCUCUUGUCAGCAGCGGUGCCAGCUCCCAGGAGCUAAUCCAGUUAGUGGGGUCCCCUCUUUGUUCCUCAUGACAGGGCCUUCCAGGGGCUGCUCCAUUGGCCAACCACAGUUCCUGAGGAGGGACUUUCUUCCAGAGUCUUCCAAGUUCCAAACUCCAGCUCCUUCAGUAACAAGAUAGUUCUCUAUUAUUCUUUCUAAAGGCGCCCCACAGCGCAGUUCCUGCUUUGUUGCAGUGUUUUCUGACCUGUGGGCUUCAUAUUCCUAAGAAGCCAUUGAAUUACUGCAAGAACAUAUGAAUCACUGUUACACCAAGUAUGUCUGUAACCUGAAUAAACAAUGUUAAUGACGAGUUAUUGUGCUAUAUAUUCUGCACUGUGCCAAGCCCAUUGCAUGCAUUAUCUCAUUUAAUCCUCACAAAAAUGCUGUGAGGUAAGCAGAACGAUAACCCCAUCUUACAGGUGAGCAAACAGCCUCAGAGAGGUUAAAUAAGUUGCUCAAGAUCAGGAAGCUAGCAAAUGGGU
rnacentral:lncRNA from 1 species